CCCUUAGAUGUUCUGGGCCGCACGCGCGCUACACUGAUGUGUCCAGUAAGCACCUAACCUCUUCCGAAAGGAACGGGUAACCUUUGCAAAGCACAUCGUGAUGGGGAUAGAUUAUUGCAAUUAUUAGUCUUGAACGAGGAAUUCCUAGUAAGCACAAGUCAUCAGCUUGUGUUGAUUACGUCCCUGCCCUUUGUACACACCGCCCGUCGCUCCUACCGAUUGAAUGUUCCGGUGAGCUCUUCGGACUGCGCGGUCUGCAGUUUCUGCGUUCCGUGCGGAAAGUUGCGCAAACCUUAACAUUUAGAGGAAGGAGAAGUCGUAACA
rnacentral:rRNA from 1 species